rnacentral:rRNA from 1 species
GAUGAACGCUGACAGAAUGCUUAACACAUGCAAGUCUUUGGCGAAGCUGUGCUUGCACAGCCUAGCCAAGGCGGACGGGUGAGUAACGCGUAAGGAACUUGCCCUGCAGUCAGGGAUAACAGACGGAAACGACUGAUAAGACCUGGUAAAGUCAGGCGGACUCAUGUCCAGCCUGAUGAAAAGAGAUGCUGCAGGAGAGCCUUGCGUCCUAUUAGCUUGUUGGUGGGGUAACGGCCCACCAAGGCGAUGAUAGGUAGCCGGCCUGAGAGGGUGGACGGCCACAAGGGGAAUGAGAUACGGCCCUUACUCCUACGGGAGGCAGCAGUGGGGAAUAUUGGACAAUGGGGGCAACCCUGAUCCAGCAAUUCUGUGUGCACGAUGAAGGUUUUCGGAUUGUAAAGUGCUUUCAGCAGGGAAGAAAAAAAUGACGGUACCUGCAGAAGAAGCGACGGCUAAAUACGUG